rnacentral:tRNA from 1 species
GCCGGGGUGGCGGAACAGGUAGACGCACAGGACUUAAAAUCCUGCGGGUAGUGAUAUCCGUCUUAGCCGGUUCGAUUCCGCCCUCGGCACCA